rnacentral:rRNA from 1 species
UGGCUCAGGACGAACGCUGGCGGCGUGCUUAACACAUGCAAGUCUAGGACGCCAAUGUAGCAAUAUGUUGGUGGACUGGCGUACGGGUGCGUAACGCGUAGGUAAUUUGCCCUAAGGACUGGCAUAACUUUGAGAAAUCAGAGCUAAUUCCAGAUUAUGCAACGAGAUCGCAUGAUUUUGUUGUCAAAGGCCCACAAGGUCGCCAUAGGAGAAGCCUGCGUCCCAUUAGGUAGUUGGCGGAGUAACGGCCCACCAAGCCUACGAUGGGUAGCCGGUCUGAGAGGAUGAUCGGCCACAUUGGGACUGAGACACGGCCCAGACUCCUACGGGAGGCAGCAGUGAGGAAUAUUGCUCAAUGGGCGAAAGCCUGAAGCAGCAACGCCGCGUGUGGGAUGAAGGCCCUCUGGGUUGUAAACCACUGUAGAAAGGGACAAAGGUCACACUCCGUGUGACUGGAUGGUACCUUUAAAGUAAGCCUCGGCUAACUACGUGCCAGCAGCCGCGGUAAUACGUAGGAGGCAAGCGUUGUCCGGAAUCACUGGGUGUAAAGGGUGCGCAGGCGGGAAGGUAAGUCAAUGGUGAAAUCUCACAGCUUAACUGUGAAACUGCCAUUGAUACUGCUUUUCUUGAGUUCGGGAGAGGGUGGUGGAAUUCCUGGUGUAGCGGUGAAAUGCGUAGAUAUCAGGAAGAACACCAGUGGCGAAGGCGGCCACCUGGCCCGUAACUGACGCUCAUGCACGAAAGCGUGGGGAUCAAACAGGAUUAGAUACCCUGGUAGUCCACGCCCUAAACGAUGAGAACUUGAUGUUGGUCCCGCAAGGGAUCAGUGUCGGAGAUAACUCGUUAAGUUCUCCACCUGGGAAGUACGCUCGCAAGGGUGAAACU